UCAAGCGAUUAAGCGCAAACGGUGGAUGCCUUGGCAGUUGGAGGCGAUGAAGGACGUUGUAGCCUGCGAAAAGCUUCGGGGAGUCGGCAAACAGACUUUGAUCCGGGGAUGUCCGAAUGGGGAAACCCACCCAGCAUAAGUUGGGUAUCGUGCACUGAAUACAUAGGUGUACGAAGCGAACGCGGGGAACUGAAACAUCUAAGUACCCGUAGGAAAAGAAAUCAACCGAGAUUCCCUUAGUAGCGGCGAGCGAACGGGGAUUAGCCCUUAAGCUCUUUAUGUUUUAGUGGAACAGUCUGGAAAGUCUGGCAAUACAGGGUGAUAGCCCCGUACGCGAAAAGGCAUUUAGAGUGAAAUCGAGUAGGUCGGGACACGUGUUAUCUUGACUGAAUGUGGGGGGACCAUCCUCCAAGGCUAAAUACUACCAACUGACCGAUAGUGAACCAGUACCGUGAGGGAAAGGCGAAAAGAACCCCUGUGAGGGGAGUGAAAUAGAUCCUGAAACCGUUUGCGUACAAGCAGUCAGAGCCCACUUGUUGGGUGAUGGCGUACCUUUUGUAUAAUGGGUCAGCGACUUAUUUUUAGUAGCAAGCUUAACCGUUUAGGGGAGGCGUAGGGAAACCGAGUCUUAAUAGGGCGUUAGUUGCUAGGAAUAGACCCGAAACCGGGCGAUCUAUCCAUGGCCAGGUUGAAGGUGCCGUAACAGGCACUGGAGGACCGAACCCACCUAUGUUGAAAAAUGGGGGGAUGAGCUGUGGAUCGGAGUGAAAGGCUAAUCAAGCCCGGAGAUAGCUGGUUCUCCUCGAAAUCUAUUUAGGUAGAGCGUCGUGUCUUACCCUGGGGGGUAGAGCACUGUUUCGGCUAGGGGCCCAUCCCGGGUUACCAAACCGAUGCAAACUCCGAAUACCCAGGAGUACAAUCACGGCAGACAGACAGCGGGUGCUAACGUCCGUUGUCAAGAGGGAAACAACCCAGACCGCCAGCUAAGGUCCCUAAUAUCAGUUAAGUGGGAAACGAUGUGGGAAGGCACAGACAGCUAGGAGGUUGGCUUAGAAGCAGCCAUCCUUUAAAGAAAGCGUAAUAGCUCACUAGUCGAGUCGGCCUGCGCGGAAGAUGCUCAAACUGAUAACCGAAGCUGCGGACGCAUAUUGUUAUUUAUAGCAAUGUGCGUGGUAGAGGAGCGUUCUGUACGCCUGCGAAGGUAAAUCGAGAGGUUUGCUGGAGGUAUCAGAAGUGCGAAUGCUGACAUGAGUAACGAUAAGGGGAGUGAAAAACUCCCCCGCCGGAAGAUCAAGGUUUCCUGUCCAACGCUAAUCGGGACAGGGUGAGUCGGCCCCUAAGGCGAGGGCGAAAGCCGUAGUCGAUGGAAAACAGGUUAACAUUCCUGUACCGCUUACAAUUGCGAUGGGGGGACGGAGAAGGCUAGGCCAGCGCGGCGAUGGUUGUCCGCGUUUAAGGCAGUAGGCUGGUGACUUAGGUAAAUCCGGGUUGCUAAGGCCGAGAGUCGAUGACGAGCGUUUACCGCAAGGUUCACGUGAAGUGGUUGAUGCCAUGCUUCCAAGAAAAUCCUCUAAGCUUCAGAUUGUAAGCGACCGUACUGUAAACCGACACAGGUGAUCAGGUAGAGAAUACCAAGGCGCUUGAGAGAACUCGGGUGAAGGAACUAGGCAAAAUGGUACCGUAACUUCGGGAGAAGGUACGCCGGUUUUGGUGAUGGGACUUGCUCCCUAAGCUGAGGCCGGUCGAAGUGACCAGGUGGCUGCGACUGUUUAUUAAAAACAUAGCACUCUGCAAACACGCAAGUGGACGUAUAGGGUGUGACGCCUGCCCGGUGCCGGAAGGUUAAAUGAUGAGGUUAGACUUCGGUCGAAGCUUUUGAUUGAAGCCCCGGUAAACGGCGGCCGUAACUAUAACGGUCCUAAGGUAGCGAAAUUCCUUGUCGGGUAAGUUCCGACCUGCACGAA
rnacentral:rRNA from 1 species